ACCUAGUUUUCCCUGUAUAUUCCAAAUAUAGACGUCUUGGGAGUUUCGUUGUUUUUAUCUUUAUAGAAAUACAUUCUGUUGAAGGUCAGUCGCUUUGGAAUGGGGUUGUAGAGAGGAGGUAGCGAAGAGGGAAUAAUGAGGAUCCUUCCUCUCCCAACUCCUCAUUAAGGAACUCUGAUCAAGAUCCAGUGAAGAACUCCAUGAUCCUAGAGCCAAAGCCGCUCAAUGAUCUCUUGGUGAUCACUGAUUGACUUCCAGUGCCACACUGCAGAAUUGAACCACCGAGGGAUCUGCUGACUCUUCUAAAAUCACUACAGUGUCACUACCACAGCACUACAGCAUCACUGCCACAACCAAGAAAACCACCACCAUCAGAAAGCUCCUGCCUGCUGCCAGCUCCAGAACCAUGCAGCACCUGCAUCAACACCAGUAAAACAGAUGACUUAUGGCCUGCCUCUCAAGUCUUAAAAAUCCAUUAUGGGUCACUGGAGACUCUGCUAACAACACUAUACAGGAGAACCAAACAACAGUUAAAACUGCAGAAAUGUAGCCUCAUUUCUAGCCUCCAAAUUCCAUGUGACUACAUCUAAUUUGCUAGAUAUAGUUUGUUUAAGCUACAUUUUUUUUUCCAAAUCAUGACUGCCUGAGAACCUGAGAGAUGUAGUGUUUUGUUUUCCUGCCUCUACAGUACAGAAAAGAUCACUAGGAGGAGAGAGAAUGACUGUGGCAUGCCACCUUACUAGAGCCUCUCCAUGUCCUACCUGAGAACUUCUUGUUAAUUGAGAAAACUCUUCUUUAUUGUUUAAGCCAAUAAAUCAAUCUGAC
rnacentral:lncRNA from 10 species